AAGAGUUUAGGUUAGUCAUUAGACCAAGGGCCUUCAAAGCCCUAAGCGGGUGUGAAAACCCCCCAUCUCUUA
rnacentral:tRNA from 1 species